rnacentral:rRNA from 1 species
GAUGAACGCUGGCGGCGUGCCUAAUACAUGCAAGUCGAGCGAACAGAUGAGGAGCUUACUCCUCUGACGUUAGCGGCGGACGGGUGAGUAACACGUGGAUAACCUACCUAUAAGACUGGGAUAACUUCGGGAAACCGGAGCUAAUACCGGAUAACAUGUUGAACCGCAUGGUUCAACAGUGAUAGACGGUCUUGCUGUCACUUAUAGAUGGAUCCGCGUCGCAUUAGCUAGUUGGUAAGGUAACGGCUUACCAAGGCGACGAUGCGUAGCCGACCUGAGAGGAUGAUCCGCCACACUGGAACUGAGACACGGUCAAGAGGCCUAGGGGAGGCAGAAGUGGGGAAGAUUGGACAAUGGGCGCAAGCCGGAGCCAGCAAUAACGGGUGGGUGAAAAAGGUCUUCGGGUUGUAGAGCCCUUUUGUUGGGAAAGAAAAGAAGCAGGUUAAUACCCCGCUGUUCUGACGGGCCCAAAAGAAUAAGCACCGGCUAACUUCGUG